UAGGGAAUCUUCGGCAAUGGACGAAAGUCUGACCGAGCAACGCCGCGUGAGUGAAGAAGGUUUUCGAAUCGUAAACUCUGUUGGUAGAGAAGAACGUUGGUGAGAGUGGAAAGCUCAUCAAGUGACGGUAACUACCCAGAAAGGGACGGCUAACUACGUACCAG
rnacentral:rRNA from 1 species